UCCACCAUGGCCAAGACCAAAGAGCUGUCAAAGGGAACCAGAAACAAAAUUGUAGACCUUCACCAGGCUGGGAAGACUAAAUCUGCAAUAGGGAGUUUGUGGAGAGACCUGAAAAUGGCUGUUCACCAUCCAACCUGACAGAACUGGAAAGGAUCUGCACGGAGGAAUGGCAGAGGAUUCCCAAAUCCAGGCACGGUGGACUACUGGUUAGAGCGUCUGCCUCAGGGUUCAAUCCCCAGCCCCACCUGUGUGGCGUUUGCAUGUUCACCUUUCCUCCCACAUCCCAAAAACAUGCAUGCUAGGUUAAUUGUCCGUAGGUGUGAAUAUGAGUGCAACUGGAUGUUUGUUUAUAUGUGCCCUGCGAUUGGCUGGCAACCAGUUGAGGGUGUACCCCGCCUCCUGCCCGAUUAUAGCUGGGAUAAGCUCCUGCACUCCCGCGACCCUUGUGAGGAUGAGCGGCUCAGAAGAUGGAUGGAUGGAUGGAUGUACAAACUUCAUUGGAAUUGGGGAUGUAAAUCGUAUAGCUCUGAUUUAUUUUUUUUUCUUUCCUGGAGGUGGGGUGGGGGGAUACGUCGUCACUGAUGCCAUAGACUGUUUCGUACUCCUUGAACGCUGGCAGCUAGAUCCAUUCCACGCAUCCACCAUCAACACACAGAUGUAAUUGUGAAUAUUACUCCGCAGCGGACUAAUAUGAGGCCUGAGGUUCCGCCUGUGCCCUCGAAGUCACAGGAGUUGAUGAGACCAGAAGAAAAUUUUUUUUGGCACUUCUGCUGUUAAUAAGUCAGAUGUAUCAAUAGUGAAAUGGCUGGAAAUGUGUGGUGCCUCACGCCAACUUCUUGGCUGGCGUACGCACGUUUCAGCAGCUGUUGGUGCUUUGGGGAUACUUAGAGGUGAAACUUAUAAUAAACCUGCACAUCAGAGACACAUGACCAAUUAUCACUGAUGAACAAUUAAUGCCUGGCAACAUUUGAUUUCAACAAUGUAAUAGAGGCAAGGAUUCGGAAUUCAUUUGUUAACCAGUGUAUUUAAUGAAUCACUGAUAUUUGUGAGGAACCCUAUUAAUUGAUCAAGGCAAACAUUUAUGCCGCCUAUUGCCCUCAUCGCUUCUUGUUACUCCAGCACAUGGACUGAAAAAAAGAGUCCUUUGAAUUGACUUCAUUUGAAAAUGUACAUCGGUUGCACAUUAUUAAAAUGUGUUAAAAUGACAUUUACCCCUCUUUUCCUAAAAAAAAAUAAAAUAAUUUUUAACCUAUUUGAAUCACGUGCAACCGAUGUACAUGUUCAAAUGAAGUCAAUUCAAAGGACUCUCUUUAUCAUUCUGGGUUAGGGUAAGAAACUGAGUUCCUGACCUGCGAGGGUCUGGAUAGUUGCACGGUCCUCAAACAGCGCUCCCUCCCGUAUGUUGCCCCAGUCCCCACUCCGCCAAUUCCCCUUCCUCUGUUUCUUUCCUUUUCUUUUGGCUUCUUUUUAUUUGUUUAGGGUUUAUCUUAUGUUGUUUCUCUUUUUGUUCUUCUAACCCUCUACUUUCUAUUCUUAUUGUCUUUGUUUAGUUUUUCUUAACUUUCUAAAUUUAGAAUUUUCUUUUUGUUUUUCGUCGAAUUUGGCGUGCCAUUAGUUACAAUGUGUUCCGUCCAUCCUCCAAUUUAGGUUUUAAGUUUGUUUGUCCUAAUUUGACUUUUAUAUCAUUUUGUUCUUAGGGUUAGGUUAGGAUUGGGGAACUGAACUCUUCCCCACCAGGAAUUGGGGGCAUUGCCCCCUCUUCCUGUAGGAAAGGAUGGUGCAUGGUUCCGCCUCCCGUAAUCCUGGUUCCAAUCCCUGGGGUAUGUGGGCUGGCGGCCCCGCCCAUAGCGGACCUCUCUCCAACCCCCCAUGAUAUUUGCCUCCUUAAUUUGAGUUCGCCUUGGCUAUAUAAGUAAUCUUUAUUUUUCUUGUUUCUUAUUAGUUUUGGUAUUAAUUUAUAAUGUAUUUGAAUCAAAGAAACAAAACAAAAAGUCAAAAUAAAAAAAAAUCCUCAAUUCAAACCCCCCAAAAUUUUUUUUUUUACUUUUUUUGGUUGUAUUGUCUUUUAUCUGAAUUUAUUUUUUAUUACUUGUAUCCAAUUUUCUUGUAUUGCUUUGUUUUUUUAAACAAGAACGGUAUGUUGUAUUUAUGUGUGUGUCAUGGAUUAUGUGUGGGGCUGUAUUGCCCUCUAGUGGUGAGAUGUGUAAAUAAAUGAGCUAAUUGAAAAACGAAAAAAAGAAAAAGAGCCCAAAAGAAAUGAGACAGAGAGAGAGAGAGAGAGAUAUAGAGUGCCCGUCGCGACGUUUCGCCCCUUUUAGGGUCUUCCUCAGGCGUGGGCACCAAGGAAGAGAAGAAAAGAAAGAGAGAAUAAUUGACAGUAAAGUGGCUAAUUAACUGUCUUACUGUUUGAAUUGGCUUCAGCGGCUUAGGAGAUGUUAGGAAAAGAAGGCUGAACCCUUCCUCUCCGAGGGUGAUAGACCUCUGCCCGACCCCCGGUAAGAAAAGGAGAUGCACUGGCCUUCCACCCCUGGUACCUCCAGUCCCCCUGAUUCCCACCUCUUUGUCUCCCAUUUUGGCCACGUUGUCCACACUGGACCA